rnacentral:rRNA from 1 species
AACGAACGCUGGCGGCAUGCCUAACACAUGCAAGUCGAACGAGACCUUCGGGUCUAGUGGCGCAAGGGUGCGUAACGCGUGGGAACCUGCCCUUAGGUUCGGAAUAACUCCCCGAAAGGGGUUCUAAUACCGGAUAAUGUCUUCGGACCAAAGAUUUAUCGCCUUUGGAUGGGCCCGCGUUGGAUUAGCUAGUUGGUAGGGUAAAAGCCUACCAAGGCGACGAUCCAUAGCUGGUCUGAGAGGAUGAUCAGCCACACUGGGACUGAGACACGGCCCAGACUCCUACGGGAGGCAGCAGUGGGGAAUAUUGGACAAUGGGCGAAAGCCUGAUCCAGCAAUGCCGCGUGAGUGAUGAAGGCCUUAGGGUUGUAAAGCUCUUUUACCCGGGAUGAUAAUGACAGUACCGGGAGAAUAAGCUCCGGCUAACUCCGUG